rnacentral:rRNA from 1 species
CGUAGGUGAACCUGCGGAAGGAUCAUUAUUGAAUACGAUUGGUACUGAUGCUGGCUCUUCACAGAGCAUGUGCUCGUCCAUCUAUUUAUCUUCUCUUGUGCACAUCUUGUAGUCUUGAAUGAAACCUCUCGCAGUCAAUGCGGUUUGGGAGUUUGUUAACCCUUCUCCUGCUUCUUCAAGGCUAUGUUUUCAUAUACACUAUAAAGUUACAGAAUGUCUUUUAAAGGCUUGCGCUUGUCGCAGUCAUUAAACCUAUACAACUUUCAGCAACGGAUCUCUUGGCUCUCCUAUCGAUGAAGAACGCAGCGAAAUGCGAUAAGUAAUGUGAAUUGCAGAAUUCAGUGAAUCAUCGAAUCUUUGAACGCACCUUGCGCCCUUUGGUAUUCCGAAGGGCAUGCCUGUUUGAGUGUCAUUAAAUUAUCAACCUUGCUCGCUUUUACCGGCUUGAGUUAGGCUUGGAUGUGAGGGCUUUGCUGGCUUCCUUCAGUGGAUGGUCUGCUCCCUUUAAAUGCAUUAGUGGGAUCUCUUGUGGACCGUCACUUGGUUGUGAUAAUUAUCUACGCCAUUUGACUUUGAAGCAAACUUAUGGGAACCUGCUUAUAACCGUCCUUUCGAGGACAAUCUUUGACAUUUUGACCUCAAAUCAGGUAGGACUACCCGCUGAACUUAAGCAUAUCAAUAAGCGGAGGAAAAGAAACUAACAAGGAUUCCCCUAGUAACUGCGAGUGAAGCGGGAAAAGCUCAAAUUUAAAAUCUGGCGGUCCCUGUGGCCGUCCGAG